rnacentral:rRNA from 1 species
AGAGUUUGAUCAUGGCUCAGAUUGAACGCUGGCGGCAGGCCUAACACAUGCAAGUCGAGCGGUAGCACAGGAGAGCUUGCUCUCCGGGUGACGAGCGGCGGACGGGUGAGUAAUGUCUGGGAAACUGCCUGAUGGAGGGGGAUAACUACUGGAAACGGUAGCUAAUACCGCAUAACGUCUUCGGACCAAAGUGGGGGACCUUCGGGCCUCACGCCAUCAGAUGUGCCCAGAUGGGAUUAGCUAGUAGGUGGGGUAAUGGCUCACCUAGGCGACGAUCCCUAGCUGGUCUGAGAGGAUGACCAGCCACACUGGAACUGAGACACGGUCCAGACUCCUACGGGAGGCAGCAGUGGGGAAUAUUGCACAAUGGGCGCAAGCCUGAUGCAGCCAUGCCGCGUGUGUGAAGAAGGCCUUCGGGUUGUAAAGCACUUUCAGCGAGGAGGAAGGGUAGUGUGUUAAUAGCACAUUGCAUUGACGUUACUCGCAGAAGAAGCACCGGCUAACUCCGUGCCAGCAGCCGCGGUAAUACGGAGGGUGCAAGCGUUAAUCGGAAUUACUGGGCGUAAAGCGCACGCAGGCGGUUUGUUAAGUCAGAUGUGAAAUCCCCGCGCUUAACGUGGGAACUGCAUUUGAAACUGGCAAGCUAGAGUCUUGUAGAGGGGGGUAGAAUUCCAGGUGUAGCGGUGAAAUGCGUAGAGAUCUGGAGGAAUACCGGUGGCGAAGGCGGCCCCCUGGACAAAGACUGACGCUCAGGUGCGAAAGCGUGGGGAGCAAACAGGAUUAGAUACCCUGGUAGUCCACGCUGUAAACGAUGUCGACUUGGAGGUUGUGCCCUUGAGGCGUGGCUUCCGGAGCUAACGCGUUAAGUCGACCGCCUGGGGAGUACGGCCGCAAGGUUAAAACUCAAAUGAAUUGACGGGGGCCCGCACAAGCGGUGGAGCAUGUGGUUUAAUUCGAUGCAACGCGAAGAACCUUACCUACUCUUGACAUCCAGAGAAUUCGCUAGAGAUAGCUUAGUGCCUUCGGGAACUCUGAGACAGGUGCUGCAUGGCUGUCGUCAGCUCGUGUUGUGAAAUGUUGGGUUAAGUCCCGCAACGAGCGCAACCCUUAUCCUUUGUUGCCAGCGCGUAAUGGCGGGAACUCAAAGGAGACUGCCGGUGAUAAACCGGAGGAAGGUGGGGAUGACGUCAAGUCAUCAUGGCCCUUACGAGUAGGGCUACACACGUGCUACAAUGGCGUAUACAAAGAGAAGCGAACUCGCGAGAGCCAGCGGACCUCAUAAAGUACGUCGUAGUCCGGAUCGGAGUCUGCAACUCGACUCCGUGAAGUCGGAAUCGCUAGUAAUCGUAGAUCAGAAUGCUACGGUGAAUACGUUCCCGGGCCUUGUACACACCGCCCGUCACACCAUGGGAGUGGGUUGCAAAAGAAGUAGGUAGCUUAACCUUCGGGAGGGCGCUUACCACUUUGUGAUUCAUGACUGGGGUGAAGUCGUAACAAGGUAACCGUAGGGGAACCUGCGGUUGGAUCACCU